UAACGCGUAGGUAACCUACCUCAUAGCGGGGGAGUAACUAUUGGAAACGAUAGCUAAUACCGCAUAAGAGAGACUAACGCAUGUUAGUAAUUUAAAAGGGGCAAUUGCUCCACUAUGAGAUGGACCUGCGUUGUAUUAGCUAGUUGGUGAGGUAAAGGCUCACCAAGGCGACGAUACAUAGCCGACCUGAGAGGGUGAUCGGCCACACUGGGACUGAGACACGGCCCAG
rnacentral:rRNA from 1 species